rnacentral:rRNA from 1 species
CCUACGGGUGGCAGCAGUCGAGAAUCAUUCACAAUGGGGGAAACCCUGAUGGUGCGACGCCGCGUGGGGGAAUGAAGGUCUUCGGAUUGUAAACCCCUGUCAUGUGGGAGCAAAUUAAAAAGAUAGUACCACAAGAGGAAGAGACGGCUAACUCUGUGCCAGCAGCCGCGGUAAUACAGAGGUCUCAAGCGUUGUUCGGAAUCACUGGGCGUAAAGCGUGCGUAGGCUGUUUCGUAAGUCGUGUGUGAAAGGCGCGGGCUCAACCGGCGGACGGCACAUGAUACUGGGAGACUAGAGUACUGGAGGGGGAACGGGAAUUCUCGGUGUAGCAGUGAAAUGCGUAGAUAUCGAGAGGAACACUCGUGGCGAAGGCGGGUUCCUGGACAUUAACUGACGCUGAGGUACGAAGGCCAGGGGAGCGAAAGGGAUUAGAUACCCUAGUAGUC